rnacentral:rRNA from 1 species
UGACCUCAAAUCAGGUAGGACUACCCGCUGAACUUAAGCAUAUCAAUAAGCGGAGGAAAAGAAACUAACAAGGAUUCCCCUAGUAACUGCGAGUGAAGCGGGAAAAGCUCAAAUUUAAAAUCUGGCAGUCUUUUGGCUGUCCGAGUUGUAAUCUAGAGAAGUGUUAUCCGCGCUGGACCAUGUACAAGUCUCCUGGAAUGGAGCAUCAUAGAGGGUGAGAAUCCCGUCUUUGACAUGGACUUCCAGGGCUUUGUGAUGCGCUCUCAAAGAGUCGAGUUGUUUGGGAAUGCAGCUCAAAAUGGGUGGUAAAUUCCAUCUAAAGCUAAAUAUUGGCGAGAGACCGAUAGCGAACAAGUACCGUGAGGGAAAGAUGAAAAGAACUUUGGAAAGAGAGUUAAACAGUACGUGAAAUUGCUGAAAGGGAAACGCUUGAAGUCAGUCGCGUCGUCCAGGGAUCAACCUUGCUUUUGCUUGGUGCACUUCCUGGUUUGAUGGGUCAGCAUCAAUUUUGACUAUUGGAAAAAGGUUAAGGGAAUGUGGCAUCUUUGGAUGUGUUUAUAGCCCUUGGUCACAUACAAUGGUUGGGAUUGAGGAACUCAGCACGCCGCAAGGCCGGGUUUAAACCACGUACGUGCUAGGAU